rnacentral:rRNA from 1 species
GACGAACGCUGGCGGCGUGCUUAACACAUGCAAGUCGAACGGAAAGGCCCUGCUUUUGUGGGGUGCUCGAGUGGCGAACGGGUGAGUAACACGUGAGUAACCUGCCCUUGACUUUGGGAUAACUUCAGGAAACUGGGGCUAAUACCGGAUAGGAGCUCCUGCUGCAUGGUGGGGGUUGGAAAGUUUCGGCGGUUGGGGAUGGACUCGCGGCUUAUCAGCUUGUUGGUGGGGUAGUGGCUUACCAAGGCUUUGACGGGUAGCCGGCCUGAGAGGGUGACCGGCCACAUUGGGACUGAGAUACGGCCCAGGCUCCUACGGGAGGCAGCAGUCGGGCAUACUGCACAAUGGGCGGAAGCCUGAUGCAGCAACGCAGCGUGCGGGAUCACGGCCUUCGGGUUGUAAACCGCUUUCGCCGGUGACGAAGCGUGAGUGACGGUAAUGGGUAAAGAAGCAACGGCUAACUACGUG